AAGUAUAAACGAUUUAAUCGUGAAACCGCGAAUGGCUCAUUAUAACAGCUAUAAUUUACUUGAUCUUGACACAAUCCUACUUGGAUAACUGUGGUAAUUCUAGAGCUAAUACAUGCAUUAAAGCUCUGACCUCACGGGAAGAGUGCAUUUAUUAGAACAAAACCAAGCGGCUUCGGCUGUUUCCGGUUGACUCAUAGUAACUGAGCUGAUCGCAUGGUCUUGCACCGGCGACGUGUCUUUCAAGUAUCUGCCGUAUCAACUUUCGAUGGUAGUGUAUCUGACUACCAUGGUGAUCACGCGUAACGGAGAAUAAGGGUUCGGCUCCGGAGAGUUCGCCUGAGAAAUCGCGAACACAUCUAAGGAAGGCAGCAGGCGCGAAAAUUACCCACUCUCAGCACGAGGAGGUAGUGACGAAAAAUAACGAGACCGUUCUCUUAUGAGGCCGGUCAUCGGAAUGGGUACAAUUUAAACCCUUUAACGAGUAUCUAUGAGAGGGCAAGUCUGGUGCCAG
rnacentral:rRNA from 1 species